UAUUUUCAGCUGCACUAUUAUAUAGGAGUACGACAUGAUGCCAGCACUACAAGGAACAACACUCUAAGAUUUGGCAUUGUCGACUCACGGACAAGUGUACAAAUCCAAUCAUCACUUGUCCGAAUGCUCUACUUAACCUAGCAUUCGCUAGGUUUUUUUAUGCCUAUUCGGAC
rnacentral:ncRNA from 1 species